AUAUUUACCUGGCAGGGGUGAUACGAUGAUCAAGAAGGUGAUUCACCGAAGGUGAAGCUCAGCCAUUGCACUCAGGCUGUGCUGACCCUUGCGAAUUCCCCAAAUGUGGGAAUCUUGACUGCAUAAUUUCUGAUAGUUGGGGACUGCGUUCUCACUCUUCCCUG